rnacentral:rRNA from 1 species
UACCAGCGCCCCGAGUGGUCGGGACGAUUAUUGGGCCUAAAGCAUCCGUAGCCGGUUUUACAAGUCCUCCGUUAAAUCCAGCUGCUUAACAGAUGGGCUGCGGAGGAUACUAUAAGACUAGGAGGCAGGAGAGGCAAGCGGUACUCAGUGGGUAGGGGUAAAAUCCUCUGAUCCAUUGAAGACCACCAGUGGCGAAGGCGGCUUGCCAAUACGCGCUCGACGGUGAGGGAUGAAAGCUGGGGGAGCAAACCGG